rnacentral:sRNA from 1 species
UUCCCUCUGCUCGGUCCGUAUAGGCGCCUCAUCGAUCCCCUUUGAGUAUGAACCGGGGUCCGAUGCCGAGCCGUUGUGCAAGCCCGGGGUUCUUCGCCGGGAAGCCUGAAGGCUCGGUUCCACAGGAUCCCACCUAGCGACUCGCUAGGGGUUCAUGCUGGCGCACUUCCUACGGCCGAGUGGUAAGGAA